GACGAACGCUGGCGGCGUGCUUAACACAUGCAAGUCGAACGAUGAAGCCCAGCUUGCUGGGUGGAUUAGUGGCGAACGGGUGAGUAACACGUGGGCAACCUGCCCCAAACUCUGGGAUAACUCCUCGAAAGAGGUGCUAAUACCGGAUACGAACUAGACAGACAUCUGUACUAGUUGGAAAGUUUUUCGGUUUGGGAUGGGCCCGCGGCCUAUCAGCUUGUUGGUGAGGUAACGGCUCACCAAGGCUACGACGGGUAACCGGCCUGAGAGGGCGCACGGUCACACUGGGACUGAGACACGGCCCAGACUCCUACGGGAGGCAGCAGUGGGGGAUAUUGCGCAAUGGGCGAAAGCCUGACGCAGCGACGCCGCGUGAGGGAUGAAGGUCUUCGGAUCGUAAACCUCUUUCAGUAGGGACGAAGCGAAAGUGACGGUACCUAAAGAAGAAGCACCGGCUAACUACGUGCCAGCCGCCGCGGUAA
rnacentral:rRNA from 1 species